rnacentral:rRNA from 1 species
CCUACGGGAGGCAGCAGUGGGGAAUAUUGCACAAUGGGCGCAAGCCUGAUGCAGCCAUGCCGCGUGUGUGAAGAAGGCCUUCGGGUUGUAAAGCACUUUCAGCGGGGAGGAAGGCGUUAAGGUUAAUAACCUUGUCGAUUGACGUUACCCGCAGAAGAGGCACCGGCUAACUCCGUGCCAGCAGCCGCGGUAAUACGGAGGGUGCAAGCGUUAAUCGGAAUUACUGGGCGUAAAGCGCACGCAGGCGGUCUGUCAAGUCGGAUGUGAAAUCCCCGGGCUCAACCUGGGAACUGCAUUCGAAACUGGCAGGCUAGAGUCUUGUAGAGGGGGGUAGAAUUCCAGGUGUAGCGGUGAAAUGCGUAGAGAUCUGGAGGAAUACCGGUGGCGAAGGCGGCCCCCUGGACAAAGACUGACGCUCAGGUCCGAAAGCGUGGGGAGCAAACAGGAUUAGAUACCCUUGUAGUC